ACUUCAGAAGUGAAGUCUAAACUAGAAGCUACACAAGAGUGAUUAUACAGCAGAUAAUAUCAGAUAAACAUAAGUUGCAAAGAAUGAAAAAAUUAAAAAUCAAAAAGAAAAAAGAUGAAAAGAAUUCAAUUGAAAAUUACAAACAGAAGACAGGAAAAGAAGACUGAACACACUAAGACAGGCCUCAAAUAAUAUAAACUAAAUAUAUAUAAUAGUAAUAUAAUCUUAACUAUAUAUAAUAUAAUUUUGUUUCUUAUUCUCAGAUAGCUGUGUAUAUAAUGUUGCAUAAAAUAUUGACUAAUUAUAUGAUAUUCUAAAAUUUUAUUGUUCAUGAUAUCCACAAUUCUCACCAUGUCAGAGAGGAGGUAAGAUUUUAGAUAGAAGAGAUACAUAAAACCCAGUAGCCAUAAAUUUCAAUGGAAAAUAUCAGUAUGAAUUAAUGAGGUGUUUUUAUCUUUUAAAAGUAUAUUGAUUUCCUAACUCUGUCCAUUCCAAGGCCUAGAGAGACAACACAGUAGCAACUCGGAGUGGCCAGAAAGUACUCUUGAAAUACAAUUUCAAACUAAAAGAAACCGGAGCCCUUGGAAGAAAGCAGUGGUUUAGGAUGUGUACAAAAUGGGCCUUAAACCCUGUCACCCGAGAAAGCAGGAACAAACUUUGGGAUCCAACACAGAGGCCCCCACUGGUCAAAGAUGGGAAAACCUCAGCAUCAGAAAGGAUUUUGUCAAAAAAUGACAACUAAAAGAAAAAACCUAGCUGGUUACCACUGAAGGAUGCUAUUUUGAAAACUGGAACUAUGGACCUCACAACAUGAAGGAAAAUAAGCCUUGGCAUCAUUUAAGGCUAUACCGAUGAAGCAAGGAGAGAAAGGAACACUUAACGACAAGCCGCGAUACAAAAGGAGAAGGUGUGUGCAAUCCUGUUUAACAACCUUCGCAUCUUUUGUCACAGUUUAACUUGCGCACACACGUACACACAUAAGUGUUGCGAUAAUCCAACAGACGUCUGCACCCGGCACUGUGGGGUUAAUUCUCUGACUCCCACACAGCAGGUGGUCACAAUCUAACAGCAACAUUCACUAGGAGAGUCUGACAGCUUCCUAGGGAACAUCCCUAGAGCUUCUAGAAGGAUGCUACACGUGAGAUCUAGAAAGAUGCUACACGUGAGAAAAAUGAAUAGUCUGAAAAACUGAAAUGUUUCAGUCAAGCUUACAUGAUUUUAAUUUUUAAAAACAAAUCCAAAGAACAGUAUUUUAUUUCAGCGGUCUUCUAUGAGCAAUUUGAUAUACAAAAACUGUUUUCUUAAAAGUCUCAACCAUAAGAAAAUACUUUUUAUUCUUUGAGAUUUCUUUAAAUGUUUUUAUUAUCAACAUCACCUCUCUGUAAUUUGUAUUUAGCUACCACACCUCAAAUUAUUUGCUUUAAUUAAAACUAUAAUAAUUAAAA